rnacentral:rRNA from 1 species
AAACCAGCACCUCAAGUGGUCAGGAUGAUUAUUGGGCCUAAAGCAUCCGUAGCCGGCUCUGUUAGUUUUCGGUUAAAUCCAUAUGCUCAACAUAUGGGCUGCCGGGAAUACUACAAAGCUAGGGAGUGGGAGAGGUAGACGGUACUCCGUAGGAAGGGGUAAAAUCCUUUGAUCUAUGGAUGACCACCUGUGGCGAAGGCGGUCUACCAGAACACGUCCGACGGUGAGGGAUGAAAGCUGGGGGAGCAAACCGGAUUAGAAACCCGAGUAGUCC